rnacentral:rRNA from 1 species
AACGAACGCUGGCGGCAUGCCUAACACAUGCAAGUCGAACGAGGCCUUCGGGUCUAGUGGCGCACGGGUGCGUAACGCGUGGGAACCUGCCCUUAGGUUCGGAAUAACUCCCCGAAAGGGGUGCUAAUACCGGAUAAUGUCUUCGGACCAAAGAUUUAUCGCCUUUGGAUGGGCCCGCGUUGGAUUAGCUAGUUGGUAGGGUAAAAGCCUACCAAGGCGACGAUCCAUAGCUGGUCUGAGAGGAUGAUCAGCCACACUGGGACUGAGACACGGCCCAGACUCCUACGGGAGGCAGCAGUGGGGAAUAUUGGACAAUGGGCGAAAGCCUGAUCCGGCAAUGCCGCGUGAGUGAUGAAGGCCUUAGGGUUGUAAAGCUCUUUUACCCGGGAUGAUAAUGACAGUACCGGGAGAAUAAGCGCCGGCUAACUCCGUG